UAACAUUGAGCUUUAUCUAAAUUAGCUAGAUGCAUUGACUUUUGCUUGAUAGUAGAUGCAGCUACUCUUGUGAAAGAAAAGCGUGUUAUUUUAAGCAAGGCCUCUUAAUGUAAAUGGUAAUUUUUAUAGAUUGAGCAUCUCAACGCAUUGGUCGGGCUGUGUUUUUGCAAGAAAAGUAUUAUAUAUAAGAAUAUUGAUAAUCGGAUAGGAUAAAGGUAGGGGUAUAAUAAGGAUAGAGGUACCCAGCAUAAGGGAAAAUGUAUGACGCUGGUCAUGGCGGCUCGGAAUCGCGGGCGCAAAUACUCCACAUGGCUUCAACAUAUGCAGAAAAACUUCAAAAUCAAGGUAUAAAAGUGAAUUGUUUUCGAAAAUCUGGCACACAUACUACUGGAUGAACCCUAUAAAACAUAAAUGCUUAAUCAAGGUAUAUCAAGAAAUAACUUUUAAUCAAUAUUUCGAAACAACAAAGCAACAAACAAAAUUGCAGGUAAUAUCGAAGUAUCUACAUUUAUAAAAAAUUAGAAUAUUGAGGUGAAACAUUGUCGCAGCAAAAAGGGUAACCCACAGAAAAAUCUAGCUAUUGCUACAACACGAAACCAUUGCCAAAGUUAAUGCCAAGCACAGGGGCGGACUGGCUGGUCGGGCCCAUUCGGGCGAUCGCCCGAAGGGCCGGUCGGUUUAAGGGCCGGCUGAUUAAAGUACAAAAAAAUGAAUAAGCUUAAAAAGUGAAUCAUCAUCAUCAUCAGUAACGGAAGGGUCAAGGCUGACCCGCCGUGGACCCGCCGCCAAGUGUCCCUGUCUUGCGCCUUCCGAAGCAGCUCGGCCAUGGUCAUUCCCAGUAAAUCUUCCACGUCGUUUUCCAGUUUCCUUCGUGGUCUUCCUCGUUUCCUCUUUCCGUCCACCAUUCCCGAAAGAAUGUCAUUUCCCAAGCCUUUACUUCUCGCAACAUGGCCAGAUUUUAUGCUGUUUAUGAGGGUUGCUUGGCCGAUCCUUUCCAGGACCCAUUCGUUCGUUUUCCUUUCUCUCCAACGAUACAUAAGAUUUUAACCUGCCCUGAUGUCUUUUUACUUAGCUUUUGCUUGAAGCUGGUCAUGUUUUUGCCUAAGCAAAUUCUAUUGCUAAAUGUAAUAAAUUUAAAAGUCCAAAAUAUAGAGUUCACUAAGCGAUUCGCUCUGUGAUGUGAAGCAAUGAAGAGGACAUACGUAGAACGAGGGAAGAGCAAGAAGACUUCAACCAAAGGUGGUGCACAGAAAUUUCUAGAGGAAAAGCUGUGAGACUUAAAAAGGAUUCAGCUAUGAUACAAAGCUUUUUUAUCAAGCAAAAGCCACAAACGUCACAAAAAACAGCAGGGUCUUGCUCUUGCUCCUUUCAAUAAAUCAUAGUCAAUAGAAAUAAAUUCAUACAAGUUAUGAUAUAGAUGAGUGUGCAUUAGGAACGCAUAGCUGUCAUGGAAAUGCUGCAUGCACAAAUACUGGAGGCUCAUUCACCUGUGCUUGCAAUGCUGGUUAUAAUGGACCUGGGACAUCAUGCACAGAUAUAGAUGAGUGUACAUUAGGGACGCAUAACUGUCAUCCAAAUGCUGCAUGCACAAAUACUGCAGGCUCAUUCACCUGUGCUUGCAAUGCUGGUUAUAAUGGACCUGGGACA